rnacentral:rRNA from 1 species
UCUCCUGGAAACGGGUGGUAAUGCCGGAUGCUCCAGUUGAUCGCAUGGUCUUCUGGGAAAGCCUUUGCGGCAUGGGAUGGGGUCGCGUCCUAUCAGCUUGAUGGCGGGGUAACGGCCCACCAUGGCUUCGACGGGUAGCCGGCCUGAGAGGGCGACCGGCCACAUUGGGACUGAGAUACGGCCCAGACUCCUACGGGAGGCAGCAGUGGGGAAUAUUGCACAAUGGGCGCAAGCCUGAUGCAGCGACGCCGCGUGAGGGAUGGAGGCCUUCGGGUUGUAAACCUCUUUUGUUAGGGAGCAAGGCAUUUUGUGUUGAGUGUACCUUUCGAAUAAGCACCGGCUAACUACGUGCCAGCAGCCGCGGUAAUACGUAGGGUGCAAGCGUUAUCCGGAAUUAUUGGGCGUAAAGGGCUCGUAGGCGGUUCGUCGCGUCCGGUGUGAAAGUCCAUCGCUUAACGGUGGAUCCGCGCCGGGUACGGGCGGGCUUGAGUGCGGUAGGGGAGACUGGAAUUCCCGGUGUAACGGUGGAAUGUGUAGAUAUCGGGAAGAACACCA